rnacentral:rRNA from 1 species
UACAGAGGUCCCAAGCGUUGUUCGGAUUCAUUGGGCGUAAAGGGUGCGUAGGCGGCGCGGUAAGUCGGGUGUGAAAUCUCGGAGCUUAACUCCGAAACUGCAUUCGAUACUGCCGUGCUUGAGGACUGGAGAGGAGACUGGAAUUUACGGUGUAGCGGUGAAAUGCGUAGAUAUCGUAAGGAAGACCAGUGGCGAAGGCGGGGUCUCUGGACAGUAACUGACGCUGAGGCGCGAAGGCCAGGGGAGCAAACGGG